AGAGUUUCCUUUUCCUUGAUGGAGACCAUCACUUGCCUGGCUUGGCUUCUGUAUAUUAUAUAAUAAAGCCAUUCGUUUACUGGACAAAACAGAGCCACCUUGAAAGACUCUUGACUCAGUGUGUUGGUUUUUUACACUUCUUCACGGAACUGUGCUUGAUUGAUGUUCAUUCAUUGUGACUGAGAGAAAAGAGAAUCCAAUGGCGGGUUCGUCGUCAGUGCAGCCGCAGUUCAUUGUCAGCACUGGGAAUCGGAGUUUUUCCAAUGCACCUCUCAUUGAGAAUUCUGAUUCUGAUAAAAUUGUUGUUCCAGACAAAACAAGCUGGAAGAACCUAUUUGCAUAUAUAGGUCCAGGGUUCCUUGUUUCUAUUGCAUAUAUCGACCCUGGAAAUUUUGAAACUGACCUGCAGUCAGGAGCAGAAUACAAGUACGAGUUACUUUGGAUCAUAUUAGUGGCCUCCUGUGCUGCUCUUCUUAUACAAUCUCUAGCAGCCAAUUUGGGGGUUGUCACUGGAAAGCAUUUAGCAGAACACUGUAAGGCUGAAUAUCCUAGGGUGCCAAAUUUCAUCCUUUGGAUUCUUGCUGAAAUUGCUAUUGUUGCAUGUGAUAUUCCUGAAGUAAUUGGUACAGCCUUUGCAUUGAACAUGCUCUUCAAAAUUCCAGUGUGGAUUGGCGUUCUUUUGACUGGGCUUAGUACUUUAGUUCUUCUAGCACUACAGCAAUAUGGGGUCCGGAAGCUCGAAUUCUUUAUUGCUUUUCUUGUUUCUACAAUCGCUGCAUGCUUUCUUGUGGAGCUUGGCUAUGCAAAACCCUCUGCUUCUGAAGUCUUAUAUGGGCUUUUUGUUCCACAACUCAAGGGACAUGGUGCUACUGGACUUGCAAUUUCACUUCUUGGUGCCAUGGUUAUGCCGCACAAUCUCUUCCUUCAUUCAGCAUUGGUGCUUUCUAGGAAAAUCCCACAAUCCACUGGUGGUAUCAAGGAGGCUCGUAGGUUUUACUUGAUAGAAAGUGCCUUCGCUCUAGCAAUUGCCUUUUUCAUAAAUGUAUCUGUUAUUUCUGUAAGCGGUGCUGUUUGCAAAUCCUCAAAUUUAAAUCCAGAAGAUCAGUCGAAAUGCAAGGACUUGGACUUGAACCAGGCUUCCUUUUUGCUUAGAAAUGUUUUGGGCAGUUGGAGUUCAAAACUUUUUGCAAUUGCUUUGUUGGCGUCAGGUCAGAGUUCUACCAUAACAGGAACUUAUGCAGGGCAGUAUGUCAUGCAGGGUUUCUUGAAUCUACGAUUGACGCCAUGGAUACGGAACUUUCUAACUCGAUGCUUGGCAAUAGUCCCUAGUUUAAUUGUUGCACUCAUCGGUGGCUCUUCUGGGGCUGGAAAGUUAAUUAUCAUUGCAUCUAUGAUUUUAUCAUUUGAGCUUCCUUUUGCUCUGAUACCACUCCUCAAGUUCACUAGUUGCCAAACCAAGAUGGGGAUACACGCCAACUCAACCGUGGUAUAAUGUUAUUUGAUCUAUGUCAAAUUGAUUGGACAAAAUUAUUGUUUCAUUUACAAUGAAUGGGAUUUAUGUACAAGCUAUGAUAGUUUUCCUAAAAACUAUAUAAGGAUUUGCGAAGAUGACUCUUUCUAUACUCCCCUGAGCAACAAACCUAGGUAGUUGCUUUAUAUAGACUUCUUCAUGGAGAUUACCAUGUAAAAAAAACAUUUUUAAUGUCUAGCCGGUGUGAAGGCCAAUUAUAAGUUGUUGCCAUUGAAAUAAAGAGUCGGACAAAUGCCAUCUUUGCUACUGGAGAAGUGUCAAAGUAAUCAAUACCAUAAGCUUGGGCAUACCCUUUAGCCACAAGAUGGGCUUUAAGAUAGGCCACAGAACAAUCCGGAUUUACUUUUAUUGCAAAUACCCAGUUACACCCAAUAGCUUUCUUUCCUUCAGGUAAAUGCACUAAAGCCCAAGUACCAUUAUCUUUUAAGGCUGUCAUUUCCUCUUCCAUAGCAGUACGCCAACUAAAAUGAGAUAAAGUUUUAUGAAUCAUUGUUGGAAGAGAAAUAGAAUCUAAAGAGACAAUAAAGGAAUUAGAGGAAGAAGAUAAGUUAUUAUAGGAAACAAAAGAAUAUAGGGUAAGUACACUAACGCUUACUUUUUCGGAGAGCAAUAGGAAGGUCAAGACUGGGAUUUGAAAUAUUAGAGACUGAAUUUGAUGGCAAAGAGGAGGGUAGAAAAUUGGAAUUAUGGAGAACAAUAAAAGCAGGAUUCUCCGAUGCAGAAGCUGGUAGUGGAUCAGAGACAGAGUCGUCAGAACGCCAAGAAUAGACAUGAACAAUGAGAGGGCGACCUGACAUAUGAACUGAAGGAGGAGAAGAAUGUGGAGGAUUAGGCAAAGUCUAAAAGGCAUAGAUCAAGAGAUCAUCUUCCUCCCCUGAGUGUUAUAGAUAGACAAUGAAGGAAAGAAAUGAGUAGACUCAAAGAAAGUAACAUCAGCAGACACCAAAAAUCAAUUAAGUUCUAAAGAAAAACAACGAUACCCUUUCUAAAGACGAGAGUAUCCAAGAAAAACACACUUCAGUGAUUUGGGAUCUAACUUAAUGACUUGUGGACGAAUAUCACUAAUAAAACAAGUACAACUAAAGAUACGGGGUUCAACAAGGAACAAAGAUUUAGAGAGAAACAAAGUAUUGUAAGGAGUAUCACCUUGAAGAACAGUGGAGGGCAUGCAAUUGAUUAGAAACUAAGCGGUGGAAACUGCAUCAGCCAACAAAUAUUUAGGAACUUUCGUUUGAAAGAAGGGGGCCCUACCGACUUCAAGAAAAUGCCUAUUUUUGUGUUUAGCAACUUCAUUUUGGAACGGAGUAUUAACACAUAAAGGUUGAUGAAGAAUAUCUUUUUGUGACAAAUAAGUUUGAAAUUCCCCAGUAUUAUCACUUCUCAAUAUUCAAAUAGCAACAUUGAAUUGAGUUUGUAUUUUAGCACAGAAACCACAAAAAAUAGAAAAUAAUUCUAAAUGACUAUUCAUUAAAAAUAGCCGGGUAGUUCAAGAGAAAUCAUCAACAAAAGUGACGAUACUUAAAGGCAGAUUUAGACAUAAUAGGAUAAGGACUCCAAACAUUUGAAUGUACUAACUCAAAAAGGGAUGAAGCCCGUUUAUUAACUCUAGACAUAUGCUUGGCAAACUGACACGACUCAUAAUGUAAAACAGAUAAAGGUUGAAAAUGAGGAUAUAACUUAACUUCUUCAAGGCAGGGAGAGAGGGAUGUCCCAACCAACAAUGAACGUCAAAAAGGGUUAGAUUACUGGAGCUUGCAAGAGACCUUGGAACUUCUUAAGCAUUAUCACUUCUCAAUAUUCAAAUAGCAACAUUGAAUUGAGUUUGUAUUUUAGUACAGAAACCACAAAAAAUAGAAAAUAAUUUUGAACGAUUAUUCAUUAAAAAUAACCAGGUAGUUCAAGAGAAAUCAUCAAUAAAAGCGACGAUACUUAAAGGCAGAUUUAGACACAAUAAGAUAAGGAUCCCAAACAUUUGAAUGUACUAAAAAGGGAUGAAUCUCGUUUAUUAACUCUAGAUAUAAUGGGUAAACGAUGAUACUUGGCAAACUGACGUGACUCAUAAUCUAAACAGAUGAAGAUUGAAAAACUGAGGAUAUAACUUCUUUAAGGCAAGGAGAGAGGGAUGUCCCAACCUACAAUGAACGUCAAACAGGGUAGAUGACUGGAGCUUGCAAGAGACCUUGGAACUUGCUGAUUAAGGAUGUAGAGACCUUCUGACUCGCGUCCUUUACCAAUAAUCUGUUUCAUCGAAAAAUCCUAGAACAAACAACGAUCGGAAAAAACGAGAAUAAUUUAGUGCACAAGUGAGUUUACUUAUAGAAAGUAAAUUCAAUGAGAAGUUAGGUAGACACAAAACAAAUGACACAGAAAGAGAUGGUGUUAAGUUGACAUACCCAGAAACCCAUAACAUAAAAUUUGGAGUCAUCAGCUAGGGUAACACAAAAGGAUAGUGUAUGAGACUGAAAUUUAGGCAAAAGGUUAAAAUUACCUUACGUAUGGUCGGUAGCACCAGAAUGAAUAACCCAUAUUAUAGAGGAAGACACAUGGUACGAAGUGGAGUUAUUUGACUCAGCAAUUGCAGUAAUUGGGGAAACUAUGAAUUUUAGAGGGGCUUAGUACUGAGAGAACUGUGCAUAUUCCUUAUAUGGUUUAAAGCAGAGUCCUCGAACUUGGUUGGGAAGAUUCAGUGAGGUAGUUCAAGAGUUUGGGCUGUAGAAAAGCAAGUGUGAUUAUUCAGUAUUCUAAACCAAUAUGAGGCUGGCAUUAUCUUAUUGGUUAUGUAUGUUGAUGAUAAUAUCAUCACAGGGAGUGACAUUGGCUACAUGUUCUUGUUUUCAACCAUUCUUCAAUAGUACCCAAGUAAAUAAAAUCAUCAUAUUACAAAAUUAGAGAGUUGUGUACAGUAACAGGAGGGAACCCAAGAUAAAAUUACCUUCACAAAUCACUGGAAACAUAACAUGGACCACAGAAACAGAGAAAGGACUUCGAGGUGACACUGGCAAGAGCAUUCGAAGCAGCUUCGACCGUUAGACGCGCCUCCACACACCGGUGAAAGAAUCUGAUGGUAGAACAAAGAUCGGGCGCGUGAAGCACAGUCACCGGUCAGAUGGCGGCCAAACUUUCAAGGCAGUGUUGCCAGAUCCCGACGUCCUUCCUAGGUGGGCGGUGAGAUCCAAAUAUCACUCUACAUGGGUGACUCAAAUAACAGUGAUUGAAAAGGAACCCUAGGUCUCCAAAAGGAAGGAGGAAAAAUUUCCUUUCAAGAUUUCAGCUCUCACUUGGAUUAUUGGUUCCUUGAUCAUGGCGAUAAAUAUAUACUACCUUGCAACUGGCUUCAUCAAUAUUCUUCUUCAUGGCCAUUUAAAAGUGGUAGAAGUUGUUUUUCUUGGAAUAUUUGGAUUUUCAGCCAUGGCAUUGUAUUUAGCUGCAAUUGCAUACUUGGUGUUUCGUAAAAACAAGGAAGCUACACAUCUUUUGGCACUAACAACACCGGAAAGUCGACAGAUGGCUAAUGAGUCGGCUGAUACACUGAUGCAUAAUCUGCCAAGGGAAGACAUAGUAAGCAUGCAGUUACCUCAAAUAAGAUCUACAGAAGUAGAUUGAUAAGUGGUGGGA